UACGUAGGGUGCAAGCGUUAUCCGGAUUCACUGGGCGUAAAGAGUCGUGUAGGUGGUUUGUCGCAUCGUACUUGAAAGCCCGAGGCUUAACCUCGGCGUUGGGUACGAGAUGGAUAGACUAGAGGGAGGCAGAGGAAAGGGGAACUCGUGGUGGAGCAGUGAAAUGCGUUGAUAUCACGAGGAACACCAAAGGCGUAGGCACCUUUCUGGGCCUCUCCUGACACUGAGACACGAAAGCUAGGGGAGCGAAGCAGAUUAGAGACCUGCGUAGUCCUAGCCCUAAACGCAUGUCUGCUAGUUGCCCCGACGUAAGUGGGGGUGACGUAAGCUAACGCGUUAAGCAGACCGCCCUGGGGAGUACGAUCGCAAGACUAAAACUCAAAGGAAUUGACGGGGACCCGCACAACCGGUGGAGCGUGUGGUUCAAUUCGAGACAAAGCGAAGGACCUUACCAGGGUUUGACAUGUUAUCGUUUUAACCCCCAAGAAACUGGGGGCUAUCCGCAAGGAUGAUAGCACAGCUGCUGCAUGGCUGUCGUCAGCUCGUGCCGUGGGGUGUUUCCUUAAGUGGAAGAACGAGCGCAACCCGUAUCCGAUGUUACAAGUGUCAUCGGAGACCGCCCACUCUCUGAAUACAGAAAUGAAAAAUUUACGAAUGAUGAAUCUACGAAUGAAAAAUAAAAUUCAUUUGUUUAUUCGCUUAUUCGCAGAUUCGUAGAUUCUGUUUUGAGAGAGUGGGAGGAAGGAACGGACGACGUCAAGUCAGCACGGCGCUUAUACCCUGGGUCACACACACACUACAAUGGCGAAUAACAAUGGGAAGCAAGAGUGCAAACUUAAGCAAAUCCCCUCCAAAUUUCGCCUCAGUUCAGACUGGGGUCUGCAACCCGACCCCAUGAAGUCGGAAUCGGUAGUAAUCGCGGAUCAGCAAGUCGCAGUGAAUACGUUCUCGGGUCU
rnacentral:rRNA from 1 species